rnacentral:rRNA from 1 species
AUGAACGCUGGCGGCGUGCCUCAUACAUGCAAGUCGCGCGAACAGACGAGGAGCUUGCUCCUUUGACGUUAGCGGCGGACGGGUGAGUAACACGUGGAUAACCUACCUAUAAGACUGGGAUAACUUCGGGAAACCGGAGCUAAUACCGGAUAACAUGUUGAACCGCAUGGUUCAACAGUGAAAGACGGUCUUGCUGUCACUUAUAGAUGGAUCCGCGCCGCAUUAGCUAGUUGGUAAGGUAACGGCUGACCAAGGCAACGAUGCGUAGCCGACCUGAGAGGGUGAUCGGCCACACUGGAACUGAGACACGGUCCAGACUCCUACGGGAGGCAGCAGUAGGGAAUCUUCCGCAAUGGGCGAAAGCCUGACGGAGCAACGCCGCGUGAGUGAAGAAGGUCUUCGGAUCGUAAAACUCUGUUAUUAGGGAAGAACAAAUGUGUAAGUAACUAUGCACGUCUUGACGGUACCUAAUCAGAAAGCCACGGCUAACUACGUG